GAUGAACGCUGGCGGCGUGCCUAAUACAUGCAAGUCGAGCGAACAGAUGAGAAGCUUGCUCCUCUGACGUUAGCGGCGGACGGGUGAGUAACACGUGGAUAACCUACCUAUAAGACUGGGAUAACUUCGGGAAACCGGAGCUAAUACCGGAUAAUAUAUUGAACCGCAUGGUUCAAUAGUGAAAGACGGUUUUGCUGUCACUUAUAGAUGGAUCCGCGCCGCAUUAGCUAGUUGGUAAGGUAACGGCUUACCAAGGCAACGAUGCGUAGCCGACCUGAGAGGGUGAUCGGCCACACUGGAACUGAGACACGGUCCAGACUCCUACGGGAGGCAGCAGUAGGGAAUCUUCCGCAAUGGGCGAAAGCCUGACGGAGCAACGCCGCGUGAGUGAUGAAGGUCUUCGGAUCGUAAAACUCUGUUAUUGGGGAAGAACAUAUGUGUAAGUAACUAUGCACGUCUUGACGGUACCUAAUCAGAAAGCCACGGCUAACUACGUG
rnacentral:rRNA from 1 species